rnacentral:sRNA from 1 species
GACUUUUUGUCUUAUGGUGAAGCUUUAUAACCUUCCCUCGCCCAGAUUGAAUAACUUCCUCAACUUUUACAAUUCCUUCCAUUUAACUGGGACCACGAUUGUAAAUCACUGUUGUGCCAUCAUGAUAAGCUGACUUGUGUCAUGGCCUUGUUAUUUUAUUUUGCCAUGGUUUAGUGAUUUGAUGACUGAGGUUGUCUCGUAGCCUACUCUUUUACAUGUAACUACCCCAAAGCCCAAAAGCCAAAUUCUUUGUCCCAUUUCUCUACAUGUGCCAAUGUGUCUGGAUUUUAUUCUAUUUUCUUCUGCAUGAUUAGCCUGCCUAUGUGUUGUACUUUUUUCGCUGAUUUAUCUGCUUUUAACUUUUAUCCUUGCUGUGUUAUUUUCAACCAUUAGAUAUUAUUUAAAGCUAUUUAUUGCCGCUUGUGCUAUUUUAUUUACAUAUAAUAUGUACAAGUUAUGAAAUAUUGUAUUGCAAUUUGCAUGUUUUUCACAUUUUUAAAUAGGCAAAGUAUGUAUCCAUAUAUACCAACAAGUAAGCCUUUGUUACAGGAUGUUGUAAUUGGUUUAAAUUACCAUCAAACUGUUGUGUUUGUAGAUUUUAAUCACAGUUUUAUACUGCUCAAUCGAUUCCAUACCUGUAUUUCACAACUCUGUUAUUUAUAAAGCUCCCCUUUGUAGUUGAAGUCAUGUGACAAAGUCACGUGACUUGUGUGAGUUUUUAAGGAUGUAAUGUCUCUAAUCUUAAGGAUGUAAUGUCUCUACUCUUUACUGUCUACCGUCCUUCACGAUUCUAGUCUUCCUGUACAUGGACUGUACCUAUAACGUGCUCCUAACCCUAACCCUUCUCAGACUUUACCUCUAGAUAGAUGAAAUAUAGAAAUGUAGAGUACUGUAGUCCUACCGGAACAUUAUACUCGGAAGUUCUCAUAAGACCGCUUUAAAUGUACACUAGUGUACAUGUAUCUUUUAUAAAAAUAUGUUAUGCAUGACAGCCAAAAUAUCAUAUGACUGGCAAAUUUCUACUUAUGUAUUGCUUAAAGAAAUUCAAACUAAGAUGACUGUUUCGUUAUGUACCACUGUAUCUGAUAUCACGUGAAUAAAGUGGGUGUUAUCUU